GAACGCUGGCGGCGUGCUUAACACAUGCAAGUCGAACGAGAAUCUGUGGAUUGAGGAUUCGUCCAAAUGAAGCAGAGGACAGUGGCGGACGGGUGAGUAACGCGUGAGGAACCUGCCUUUCAGAGGGGGACAACAGUUGGAAACGACUGCUAAUACCGCAUAACGCAUAUUGAUCGCAUGGUCGAUAUGCCAAAGAUUUAUCGCUGAAAGAUGGCCUCGCGUCUGAUUAGCUAGUUGGUGAGGUAACGGCCCACCAAGGCGACGAUCAGUAGCCGGACUGAGAGGUUGACCGGCCACAUUGGGACUGAGAUACGGCCCAGACUCCUACGGGAGGCAGCAGUGGGGAAUAUUGGGCAAUGGGCGCAAGCCUGACCCAGCGACGCCGCGUGAGGGAAGAAGGUCUUCGGAUUGUAAACCUUUGUCAACAGGGACGAAACAAAUGACGGUACCUGUGGAGGAAGCCACGGCUAACUACGUG
rnacentral:rRNA from 1 species